rnacentral:rRNA from 1 species
GAAUAUUGGACAAUGGGCGCAAGCCUGAUCCAGCCAUGCCGCGUGUGUGAAGAAGGUCUUCGGAUUGUAAAGCACUUUAAUUUGGGAGGAAGGGCAGUUAACGAAUACUUAACUGUUUUGACGUUACCAAAAGAAUAAGCACCGGCUAACUUCGUGCCAGCAGCCGCGGUAAUACGAAGGGUGCAAGCGUUAAUCGGAAUUACUGGGCGUAAAGCGCGCGUAGGUGGUUCGUUAAGUUGGAAGUGAAAGCCCCGGGCUCAACCUGGGAAUUGCUUUCAAAACUGGCGAGCUAGAGUACGGUAGAGGGUGGUGGAAUUUCCUGUGUAGCGGUGAAAUGCGUAGAUAUAGGAAGGAACAUCAGUGGCGAAGGCGACCACCUGGACUGAUACUGACACUGAGGUGCGAAAGCGUGGGGAGCAAACAGG